rnacentral:rRNA from 1 species
CCUACGGGAGGCAGCAGUGAGGAAUAUUGGUCAAUGGACGAGAGUCUGAACCAGCCAAGUAGCGUGAAGGAUGACUGCCCUAUGGGUUGUAAACUUCUUUUAUAAAGGAAUAAAACGAGGCACGUGUGCCUUUUUGCAUGUACUUUAUGAAUAAGGAUCGGCUAACUCAGUGCCAGCAGCCGCGGUAAUACGGAGGAUCCGAGCGUUAUCCGGAUUUAUUGGGUUUAAAGGGAGCGUAGAUGGGUUGUUAAGUCAGUUGUGAAAGUUUGCGGCUCAACCGUAAAAUUGCAAUUGACACUGGCAGUCGUGAGUACAGUUGAGGUAGGCGGAAUUCGUGGUGUAGCGGUGAAAUGCUUAGAUAUCACGAAGAACCCCGAUUGCGAAGGCAGCUUACUAAACUGUGACUGACAUUGAUGCUCGAAAGUGUGGGUAUCAAACAGGAUUAGAUACCCGAGUAGUC